rnacentral:lncRNA from 1 species
AUGAUCAUCAUCUUGUGUGGUCCUUGGAGAUGGCAGGAAGCUCUGGACAUACACGGUGUUCGCUCCUUCAGAGGCUGUUGGAGUCCUCCUGGAUGUGGUGUGGGCAUGGAAGGAAGGCCAGUGGAGACAAUGGAUGGUCUUGCCCUUAGAAGAUCACUGGAGGUGGCAGGGAGUCCUAGGACAUGUGUGGUGUGGACCUCUUCAGGUGGUGUUGGCAUGAAAGGAAAGGAGGUAUCUUUGAGGGACAAUCUUCGCCUUGUGUGA